UACGUAGGUGACGAGCGUUAUCCGGAAUUACUGGGCGUAAAGCGCACGCAAGCGGUCUAACAAGUCUGGCGUGAAAUCCUCUGGCUUAACCAGGGGCGGUCGCUGGAGACUGUUAAACUUGAGGCGAUGAGAGGGGUGCAGAAUUCCCGGUGUAGUGGUGGAAUGCGUAGAUAUCGGGGGGAAUACCAGUGGCGAAAGCGGCACCCUGGCGUCGUACUGACGCACAUGUGCGAAAGCGUGGGGAGCGAAC
rnacentral:rRNA from 1 species